UAGGGAAUCUUCGGCAAUGGACGAAAGUCUGAUCCAGCCAUGCCGCGUGUGUGAAGAAGGUCUUCGGAUUGUAAAGCACUUUAAGUUGGGAGGAAGGGCAGUAAGUUAAUACCUUGCUGUUUUGACGUUACCGACAGAAUAAGCACCGGCUAACUCUGUGUCAG
rnacentral:rRNA from 1 species